rnacentral:lncRNA from 10 species
GUGCUGAGGAGGAUUAGUAUAAGAGGAAGGAAUGCCUCUUGCAGUUGAGACAAGAGGAAGGCAUCUGUCUCCUGCCUGUCCCUGGGCAAUGGAAUGUCUCAGUAUAAAACCCGAUUGUAUGUUCCAUCUACUGAGAUGGGGAAAAACCGCCUUAGGGCUGGAGGUGGGACCCGCGGGCAGCAAUACUGCUUUGUAAAGCAUUGAGAUGUUUAUGUGUAUGCAUAUCUAAAGCACAGCACUUAAUCCUUUACAUUGUCUAUGAUGCAAAGACCUUUGUUCACGUGUUUGUCUGCUGACCCUCUCCCCACAAUUGUCUUGUGACCGUGACACAUCCCCCUCUUUGAGAAACACCCACAAAUGAUCAAUAAAUACUAAGGGAACGCAGAGGCUGGCGGGAUCCUCCAUGUGCUGAACGCUGGUUCCCCGGGUCCCCUUAUUUCUUUCUCUAUAC